rnacentral:misc_RNA from 1 species
GAUGAAGAACGUAGCGAAAUGCGAUAAGUAAUGUGAAUUGCAGAAUUCAGUGAAUCAUCGAAUCUUUGAACGCACAUUGCGCCCGCCAGUAUUCUGGCGGGCAUGCCUGUCCGAGCGUCAUUUCAACCCUCGAACCCCUCCGGGGGGUCGGCGUUGGGGAUCGGCCCUCCCUUAGCGGGUGGCCGUCUCCGAAAUACAGUGGCGGUCUCGCCGCAGCCUCUCCUGCGCAGUAGUUUGCACACUCGCAUCGGGAGCGCGGCGCGUCCACAGCCGUUAAACACCCAACUUCUGAAAUGUUGACCUCGGAUCAGGUAGGAAUACCCGCUGAACUUAAGCAUAUCAAUAAGCGGAGG